rnacentral:rRNA from 1 species
AACGAACGCUGGCGGCAUGCCUAACACAUGCAAGUCGAACGAGACCUUCGGGUCUAGUGGCGCACGGGUGCGUAACGCGUGGGAAUCUGCCCUUGGGUUCGGAAUAACAGUUAGAAAUGACUGCUAAUACCGGAUAAUGUCUUCGGACCAAAGAUUUAUCGCCCAGGGAUGAGCCCGCGUAGGAUUAGCUAGUUGGUGAGGUAAAGGCUCACCAAGGCGACGAUCCUUAGCUGGUCUGAGAGGAUGAUCAGCCACACUGGGACUGAGACACGGCCCAGACUCCUACGGGAGGCAGCAGUGGGGAAUAUUGGACAAUGGGCGAAAGCCUGAUCCAGCAAUGCCGCGUGAGUGAUGAAGGCCUUAGGGUUGUAAAGCUCUUUUACCCGGGAUGAUAAUGACAGUACCGGGAGAAUAAGCCCCGGCCGUAACUCCGUGCCAGCAGCCGC